rnacentral:rRNA from 1 species
GACGAACGCUGGCGGCGUGCCUAAUACAUGCAAGUCGAGCGAGCGGAACCAACAGGCUUACUUCGGUAAUGACGUUGGGAAAGCGAGCGGCGGAUGGGUGAGUAACACGUGGGGAACCUGCCCUAAGUCUGGGAUACCAUUUGGAAACAGGUGCUAAUACCGGAUAAUAAAGCAGAUCGCAUGAUCAGCUUUUGAAAGGCGGCGUAAGCUGUCGCUAAGGGAUGGCCCCGCGGUGCAUUAGCUAGUUGGUAAGGUAACGGCUUACCAAGGCGACGAUGCAUAGCCGAGUUGAGAGACUGAUCGGCCACAUUGGGACUGAGACACGGCCCAGACUCCUACGGGAGGCAGCAGUGGGGAAUAUUGCACAAUGGGGGAAACCCUGAUGCAGCAACGCCGCGUGAGUGAUGACGGCCUCGGGUUGUAAG